rnacentral:rRNA from 1 species
UACGAAGGGGGCGAGCGUUGUUCGGAUUUACUGGGCGUAAAGGGCGCGUAGGCGGCUAUUCACGUCAGGCGUGAAAGCCCCGGGCUCAACCUGGGAGGUGCGCUUGGGACUGGGUGGCUGGAGUUCGGGAGAGGAGAGUGGAAUUCCCAGUGUAGAGGUGAAAUUCGUAGAUAUUGGGAAGAACACCGGUGGCGAAGGCGGCUCUCUGGACCGAGACUGACGCUGAGGCGCGAAAGCGUGGGGAGCAAACAGG